GAGAGACGCAGGAAAGCGGGUCAAUGUGUAGGGCUGGAGGGCAGGGGCGGGCCCUGGGCCUGGGCUGGGGGUCCUGCCCCGGGGCGCACCCAGGGCGAGGGCUGCCCGGAGGAGCCGAGGCUGGCGGACAGCUUGGCCCUGAGCUUGAGGGGAAGGCAGCGAUGGGACAAAGGACGGAGGUCUAGGAAGAGGGUCUGCAGAGCAGAAAGCACGGGUAGGGGCGGCCUGACGCUCGGAAGACAACGGAUGGGAGCCGUGUGCACGUCGGGAGCUCGGAGCACCAUGACUCCUGUGAGGAUGCAGCACUCCCUGGCAGGUCAGACCUAUGCCGUGCCCCUCAUCCAGCCAGACCUGCGGUGAGAGGAGGCCGUCCAGCAGAUGGCAGAUGCCCUGCAGUACCUGCAGAAGGUCUCUGGAGACAUCUUCAGCAGCAGGUAGAGCAGAGCCGGAGCCAGGUGCAGGCCAUUGGAGAGAAGGUCUCCUUGGCCCAGGCCAAGAUUGAGAAGAUCAAGGGCAGCAAGAAGGCCAUCAAGGUGUUCUCCAGUGCCAAGUACCCUGCUCCAGAGCGCCUGCAGGAAUAUGGCUCCAUCUUCACGGGCGCCCAGGACCCUGGCCUGCAGAGACGCCCCCGCCACAGGAUCCAGAGCAAGCACCGCCCCCUGGACGAGCGGGCCCUGCAGGAGAAGCUGAAGGACUUUCCUGUGUGCGUGAGCACCAAGCCGGAGCCCGAGGACGAUGCAGAAGAGGGACUUGGGGGUCUUCCCAGCAACAUCAGCUCUGUCAGCUCCUUGCUGCUCUUCAACACCACCUAGAACCUGUACAAGAAGUAUGUCUUCCUGGACCCCCUGGCUGGUGCUGUAACAAAGACCCAUGUGAUGCUGGGGGCAGAGACAGAGGAGAAGCUGUUUGAUGCCCCCUUGUCCAUCAGCAAGAGAGAGCAGCUGGAACAGCAGGUCCCUGAGAACUACUUCUAUGUGCCAGACCUGGGCCAGGUGCCUGAGAUUGAUGUUCCAUCCUACCUGCCUGACCUGCCCGGCAUUGCCAACGACCUCAUGUACAUUGCCGACCUGGGCCCCGGCAUUGCCCCCUCUGCCCCUGGCACCAUUCCAGAACUGCCCACCUUCCACACUGAGGUAGCCGAGCCUCUCAAGACCUACAAGAUGGGGUACUAACACCACCCCCACCGCCCCCACCACCACCCCCAGCUCCUGAGGUGCUGGCCAGUGCACCCCCACUCCCACCCUCAACCGCGGCCCCUGUAGGCCAAGGCGCCAGGCAGGACGACAGCAGCAGCAGCGCGUCUCCUUCAGUCCAGGGAGCUCCCAGGGAAGUGGUCGACCCCUCCGGUGGCCGGGCCACUCUGCUAGAGUCCAUCCGCCAAGCUGGGGGCAUCGGCAAGGCCAAGCUGCGCAGCAUGAAGGAGCGAAAGCUGGAGAAGAAGAAGCAGAAGGAGCAGGAGCAAGUGAGAGCCACGAGCCAAGGUGGGCACUUGAUGUCGGAUCUCUUCAACAAGCUGGUCAUGAGGCGCAAGGGCAUCUCUGGGAAAGGACCUGGGGCUGGUGAGGGGCCCGGAGGAGCCUUUGCCCGUGUGUCAGACUCCAUCCCUCCUCUGCCGCCACCGCAGCAGCCACAGGCAGAGGAGGACGAGGAUGACUGGGAAUCCUAGGGGGCUCCAUGACACCUUCCCCCCCAGACCCAGACUUGGGCCGUUGCUCUGACAUGGACACAGCCAGGACAAGCUGCUCAGACCUGCUUCCCUGGGAGGGGGUGACGGAACCAGCACUGUGUGGAGACCAGCUUCAAGGAGCGGAAGGCUGGCUUGAGGCCACACAGCUGGGGCGGGGACUUCUGUCUGCCUGUACUUCAUGGGGGGACGGCUCCACCCAGCCUGCGCCACUGUGUUCUUCUCUUAAGAGGCUUCCAGAGAAAACGGCACACCAAUCAAUAAAGAACUGAGCAGAAACCAACAGUGUGCUUUUAAUAAAGGACCUCUAGCUGUGCAGGA
ensembl:lncRNA WASH2P WASP family homolog 2, pseudogene